rnacentral:rRNA from 1 species
AGGGUUCGAUUCUGGCUCAGGAUGAACGCUAGCUACAGGCUUAACACAUGCAAGUCAGGGGCAGCAUUGGAGUAGCAAUACUUCAGAUGGCGACCGGCGCACGGGUGAGUAACACGUAUCCAACCUGCCGCUUACUCGGGGAUAGCCUUUCGAAAGAAAGAUUAAUACCCGAUGGUAUAAAGAGUUCGCAUGUUCUCUUUAUUAAAGAAUUUCGGUAAGCGAUGGGGAUGCGUUCCAUUAGAUAGUUGGCGGGGUAACGGCCCACCAAGUCUACGAUGGAUAGGGGUUCUGAGAGGAAGGUCCCCCCACAUUGGAACUGAGACACGGUCCAAACUCCUACGGGAGGCAGCAGUGAGGAAUAUUGGUCAAUGGACGAGAGUCUGAACCAGCCAAGUAGCGUGAAGGAUGACUGCCCUAUGGGUUGUAAACUUCUUUUAUAAGGGAAUAAAGUGAGGGACGUGUCCCUUUUUGUAUGUACCUUAUGAAUAAGGAUCGGCUAACUCCGUGCCAGCAGCAGC